rnacentral:rRNA from 1 species
UACGUAGGGUGCAAGCAUUAAUCGGAUUUAUUGGGCGUAAAGGGCGCGUAGGCGGAUCAGCAAGUCAGCUGUGAAAUACCCCAGCUCAACUGGGGAACUGCAGUUGAAACUACUAGUCUUGAGGGUAGGCGGAGAGAACGGAAUUCCACGUGUAGCGGUGAAAUGCGUAGAUAUGUGGAAGAACACCGGUGGCGAAAGCGGUUCUCUAGCUUACUCCUGACGCUGAGGCGCGAAAGCAAGGGGAGCAAACAGG